UAGGGAAUCUUCCGCAAUGGACGCAAGUCUGACGGAGCAACGCCGCGUGAGUGAAGAAGGAUUUCGGUUCGUAAAACUCUGUUGUUAGAGAAGAACAGCGCAUAGAGUAACUGUUAUGCGUGUGACGGUAUCUAACCAGAAAGCCACGGCUAACUACGUGCCAGCAGCCGCGGUAAUACGUAGGUGGCAAGCGUUGUCCGGAUUUAUUGGGCGUAAAGCGAGCGCAGGCGGUUAGAAAAGUCUGAAGUGAAAGGCAGUGGCUCAACCAUUGUAGGCUUUGGAAACUGUUUAACUGGAGUGCAGAAGGGGGGAGUGGAAUUCCAUGUGUAGCGGUGAAAUGCGUAGAUAUAUGGAGGAACACCGGUGGCGAAAGCGGCUCUCUGGUCUGUAACUGACGCUGAGGCUCGAAAGCGUGGGGAGCGAACAGG
rnacentral:rRNA from 1 species